rnacentral:rRNA from 1 species
AACGCUGGCGGCGUGCCUAACACAUGCAAGUCGCACGAGAAAGGGUCUUCGGAUCUGAGUAAAGUGGCGCACGGGUGAGUAACACGUGACUAAUCUACCCUCGAGUGGGGAAUAACCUAGGGAAACCUGGGCUAAUACCGCAUAACACUUACGAGCCAAAGCAGCAAUGCGCUUGGGGAGGAGGUCGCGGCAGAUUAGCUAGUUGGCGGGGUAAUGGCCCACCAAGGCGAUGAUCUGUAUCCGGCCUGAGAGGGCGCACGGACACACUGGAACUGAAACACGGUCCAGACUCCUACGGGAGGCAGCAGUGGGGAAUUUUGCGCAAUGGGGGAAACCCUGACGCAGCAACGCCGCGUGGAGGACGAAGUCUCUUGGGACGUAAACUCCUUUCGAUAGGGAAGAUAAUGACGGUACCUAUAGAAGAAGCCCCGGCUAACUUCGUGCCAGCAGCCGCGGUAAUACGAGGGGGGCAAGCGUUGUUCGGAAUUAUUGGGCGUAAAGGGCGCGUAGGCGGUUUGGCAAGUUUGAUGUGAAAUCUUCGGGCUCAACCCGAAGUCUGCAUCGAAAACUGCCGGGCUUGAGUAUGGGAGAGGUGAGUGGAAUUUCCGGUGUAGCGGUGAAAUGCGUAGAUAUCGGAAGGAACACCUGUGGCGAAAGCGGCUCACUGGACCAUGACUGACGCUGAGGCGCGAAAGCUAGAGGAGCAAACAGGAUUAGAUACCCUGGUAGUCCUAGCCCUAAACGAUGAUUGCUUGAUGUGGCAGGUACCCAAUCCUGCCGUGUCGAAGCUAACGCGAUAAGCAAUCCGCCUGGGGAGUACGGUCGCAAGGCUGAAACUCAAAGGAAUUGACGGGGGCCCGCACAAGCGGUGGAGCAUGUGGUUUAAUUCGACGCAACGCGAAGAACCUUACCUGGGCUCGAAGUGUACAGGAAUCACUUAGAAAUAGGUGCGCCCAGCAAUGGGUCUGUAUAUAGGUGCUGCAUGGCUGUCGUCAGCUCGUGUCGUGAGAUGUUGGGUUAAGUCCCGCAACGAGCGCAACCCUUAUCUCUAGUUGCUACCAUUUAGUUGAGCACUCUAGCGAAACCGCCUCGGAUAACGGGGAGGAAGGUGGGGAUGACGUCAAGUCCUCAUGGCCUUUAUGUCCAGGGCUACACACGUGCUACAAUGGCCGGUACAAACCGCUGCGAACCCGCGAGGGGGAGCCAAUCGGAAAAAGCCGGCCUCAGUUCGGAUUGGAGUCUGCAACUCGACUCCAUGAAGCUGGAAUCGCUAGUAAUCGCAGAUCAGAACGCUGCGGUGAAUACGUUCCCGGGCCU